CACGUAGGGGGCAAGCGUUGUCCGGAUUUAUUGGGCGUAAAGAGCGUGUAGGCGGCCAGUCAGGUCCGUUGUGAAAACUCGAGGCUCAACCUCGAGACGCCGAUGGAAACCGACUGGCUAGAGUCCGGAAGAGGAGAGUGGAAUUCCCGGUGUAGCGGUGAAAUGCGCAGAUAUCGGGAAGAACACCCGUGGCUAAGGCGGCUCUCUAGUACGGUACUGACGCUGAGACGCGAAAGCGUGGGGAGCGAACAGG
rnacentral:rRNA from 1 species